AGUGAACGCUGGCGGUAGGCCUAACACAUGCAAGUCGAACGGCAGCACAGUAAGAGCUUGCUCUUACGGGUGGCGAGUGGCGGACGGGUGAGGAAUACAUCGGAAUCUACUUUUUCGUGGGGGAUAACGUAGGGAAACUUACGCUAAUACCGCAUACGACCUACGGGUGAAAGCAGGGGAUCUUCGGACCUUGCGCGAUUGAAUGAGCCGAUGUCGGAUUAGCUAGUUGGCGGGGUAAAGGCCCACCAAGGCGACGAUCCGUAGCUGGUCUGAGAGGAUGAACAGACACACUGAAACAGAGACACUGUCGAGUCUUCUGCGAGACACCACUGUGGAAUAUUGUGCACUAGGGGCGAGCGUCUGCUAGAGCCACACCGCGUGUGAAGAAGGCCUUCGGGUUGUAAAGCCCUUUUGUUGGGAAAGAAAAGCAGCAGGUUAAUACCCCGCUGUUCUGACGGUACCCAAAGAAUAAGCACCGGCUAACUUCGUG
rnacentral:rRNA from 1 species